UACAGAGGGUGCGAGCGUUGUCCGGAAUCACUGGGCGUAAAGGGCGCGUAGGCGGCUUGAUAAGCGUGCGGUGAAAGCCCGGGGCUCAACCCCGGGUCGGCCGUGCGAACUGGCGAGCUGGAGCACUGUAGAGGCAGGUGGAAUUCCGGGUGUAGCGGUGGAAUGCGUAGAGAUCCGGAAGAACACCGGUGGCGAAGGCGGCCUGCUGGGCAGUGGCUGACGCUGAGGCGCGACAGCGUGGGAGCAAACAGG
rnacentral:rRNA from 1 species